rnacentral:rRNA from 1 species
CCUCUAGAUGUUCUGGGCCGCACGCGCGCUACACUGAACAGUUCAACAAGUCUUAACCUUGGCCGAUAGGUCUGGGUAAUCUUUGAACGCUGUUCGUGAUUGGGAUAGACCUUUGCAAUUAUGGGUCUUCAACGAGGAAUUCCUAGUAAACGCAAGUCAUCAGCUUGCAUUGAUUACGUCCCUGCCCUUUGUACACACCGCCCGUCGCACCUACCGAUUGAAUGGUCCGGUGAAAUCUCGGGACGGCGGCUUGGUCGCUUGCGUCCGACUGCUGAAACUUGAUUAAACCAUAUCAUUUAGAGGAAGGUGAAGUCGUANCA